GAUGAACGCUGGCGGCGCGCCUAACACAUGCAAGUCGAACGAUUAAAGCACCUUCGGGUGUGUAUAAAGUGGCGAACGGCUGAGUAACACGUGGGCAACCUGCCCCUUUCAUUGGGAUAGCCACGGGAAACCGUGGAUAAUACCGAAUACUUCGAGACUUCCGCAUGGAAGACCCGAGAAAGCUCCGGCGGUGAGGGAUGGGCCCGCGGCCUGUUAGCUUGUUGGUGGGGUAACGGCCUACCAAGGCAAUGAUGGGUAGCUGGGUUGAGAGACCGACCAGCCAGAUUGGGACUGAGACACGGCCCAGACUCCUACGGGAGGCAGCAGUGGGGAAUCGUGCACAAUGGGCGAGAGCGUGAUGCAGCGACGCCGCGUGCGGGAUGAAGGCCUUCGGGUUGUAAACCGCUUUCAGCAGGGACGAGGCGAAAGUGACGGUACCUGCAGAAGAAGCCCCGGCUAACUACGUG
rnacentral:rRNA from 1 species